rnacentral:rRNA from 1 species
AUUGAACGCUGGCGGCAGGCCUAACACAUGCAAGUCGAGCGGAUGAAGGGAGCUUGCUCCUGGAUUCAGCGGCGGACGGGUGAGUAAUGCCUAGGAAUCUGCCUGGUAGUGGGGGAUAACGUCCGGAAACGGGCGCUAAUACCGCAUACGUCCUGAGGGAGAAAGGGGGGGAUCUUCGGACCUCACGCUAUUAGAUGAGCCUAGGUCGGAUUAGCUAGUUGGUGGGGUAAAGGCCUACCAAGGCGACGAUCCGUAACUGGUCUGAGAGGAUGAUCAGUCACACUGGAACUGAGACACGGUCCAGACUCCUACGGGAGGCAGCAGUGGGGAAUAUUGGACAAAGGGCGAAAGCCUGAUCCAGCCAUGCCGCGUGUGUGAAGAAGGUCUUCGGAUUGUAAAGCACUUUAAGUUGGGAGGAAGGGCAGUAAGUUAAUACCUUGCUGUUUUGACGUUACCAACAGAAUAAGCACCGGCUAACUUCGUG